AGAAAAUAAUGUUCAAGACAAUGAAUGACCUGACUUUGAAAGGAUAUAUCCCCAAUUUAUAAACAAUUUUGCAAAUAUUCCUUAAUAAACAUUCGUAACUCUUCAAGUCUAAUUUCAAACGGCUCGAACCGUUCGUUAAUUCAAAUUAGGUACAAAAGAUUAUGACCUUUUUAUCAAAAAGUAACAGAAUUAUCUCUACGCACGCAAUGGGCCGGUGCAUCUCUUGGUUAUAAAAUCACAAUUUUGGGCAAAACACUCAUUUUAAAAGGAGAAGGGUUCUUGUGCUAGGAGAGGCAAUUUUGGAAUCUAACAUCCUUUUUAUAUACAAAUCAUUGUAUUUCUUCAUCAAAUCUUCAAGAGUUCAAAAUUCACAAGGUUGUGAUUUUCAAGAUUUGACUUCAAAGAGUUGUUUUGGAAGAAGGAGCACUUAUUUCUUCAAGUUGACAACUUGUUCAAGUGAAGAAAUUUGUAGAAAAAGAUUUUGAAGGAAACGGGAAUUGAAUUUGGAAAGGCGUAAAGAGCAUACAAGUUGUUUUGGAAGAAGGAGCACUUAUUUCUUCAAGUUGACAACUUGUUCAAGUGAAGAAAUUUGUAGAAAAAGGUACAGACGAUAGAUUUGCUGACCGCCUGCCUAGGAUAUCUAUUCUGCUAUUUUGGGAGUGCUCUUUUGUCCAGAGCCUAUAUGUUGUACUCGGAGACACAUCCCGAAGACGACACUCGGAAGGAACCUGAAGGCUUCAUCGAAUCCUUAUACAUUUUUAUACUUACGAGUACCCGGAGACACAUCCCGAAGACGACACUCGGAAGGAACCCAAAGGCUUCAUCGAAUCCUUAUACACUUUUAUACUUACGAGGCUAAGACGACUCGGGCAGCGUAUAUAUGUUGUGAUGCGAAUAAACGCUAAAGGUACAGACGCUCACUUUGGUGAUCCGCCAGCUUAGGAUUCCUAUUCAGCUAUCUUGGAGUGCUCCCUUGUCCCGGAGCCCAGAUUUUUUGUAUAGAACCUUUUGUUGUAUAUAUGUGUUUUGUCCAGGGGCACGGCGGGCCCUGUCCCGUCAUAUGUUACUGUUGUUACUCUUAGAGGUCUGUAGACAUAUGUGUGGGUUGUAAAUAGACAUUGCCCAGCUGUGCUAGUAUGACUUAUAUUUUGGGACGUUCCCAUUCGUAGUGGCAGCCUUGUCGGCUUGCGUAUAUGCAUAUAUGUUUUGGGAUGUUGUGUGUAGUGGCAGCCUUGUCGGCUUGCGUAUAUACAUAUAGAUGGGACGUUCCCACAUGCUAUGACAGCCUCGUCGGCUUA